UACGGGGGGAGCAAGCGUUGUUCGGAUUUACUGGGCGUAAAGGGCGCGUAGGCGGCGCGACAAGUCACUUGUGAAAUCUCCGGGCUUAACCCGGAGCGGCCAAGUGAUACUGUAGUGCUAGAGUGCGGAAGGGGCUACUGGAAUUCUUGGUGUAGCGGUGAAAUGCGUAGAUAUCAAGAGGAACACCUGCGGCGAAGGCGGGUUGCUGGGCCGACACUGACGCUGAUGCGCGAAAGCUAGGGGAGCGAACGGG
rnacentral:rRNA from 1 species